rnacentral:tRNA from 1 species
GCCUCCAUUGGCGCAAUCGGCUAGCGCGUUCGGCUGUUAACCGGGUUGGUGGUUCGAGCCCACCGGGGGCA